ACUGUGUAGUGUGGUUUUCCAAAGAGGAAACAAAUUAACUGAACCGCUACAAAAAAACUUUUCUCUGCAAAAACAUACAUGUUUCUACCUGACUAGUUUCAAUUAAUUUUCUUUAGUGGGAAUUCCAUACAUUAUUUUGAUAUGUUUUAUGAAAAUUAAUUUGUAUUCAGGACCUGUGUUAGUGGUCAUGGAGAUAUUUCCUACCUCUGAGACACUUGGAUGAAUCCUUCAAAAUGCCCUGAGCCCUCCUCAAGUUCCCAAGAAAUGGUGAGAGCAACAAUUAUAGGCAAGUAGGUGAUCUUAAGGAAACAGCAGGCUUCCAGGUAGCACAGUGCAGAGAUCCUCCAAUCUAGCUGGGGUUUUGUCCUUCAAGCCAACUCUAUGAGUAUCUAAAA